AUAACGAUACGGGACUCAUCCGAGGCCCCGUAAUCGGAAUGAGUACACUUUAAAUCCUUUAAUGAGGAUCCAUUGGAGGGCAAGUCUGGUGCCAGCAGCCGCGGUAAUUCCAGCUCCAAUAGCGUAUAUUAAAGUUGUUGCGGUUAAAAAGCUCGUAGUUGAAUCUGUGUGCCACGCUGUCGGUUCAUCGCUCGCGAUGUUUAACUGACAUGAUUGUGGGACGUCCUACCGGUGGACUUAGCCUUUCGGGGCGGUCCAGCUAAUAUCCCAUCGCGGUGCUCUUCAUCGAGUGUCGAGGUGGGCCGGUACGUUUACUUUGAACAAAUUAGAGUGCUCAAAGCAGGCUAUGUUACGCCUGAAUAUUCUGUGCAUGGAAUAAUGGAAUAGGACCUCGGUUCUAUUUUGUUGGUUUUCGGAACCCCGAGGUAAUGAUUAAUAGGGACAGAUGGGGGCAUUCGUAUUGCGACGUUAGAGGUGAAAUUCUUGGAUCGUCGCAAGACGGACAGAAGCGAAAGCAUUUGCCAAAAAUGUUUUCAUUAAUCAAGAACGAAAGUUAGAGGUUCGAAGGCGAUCAGAUACCGCCCUAGUUCUAACCAUAAACGAUGCCAGCUAGCGAUCCGCCGAUGUUCCUUUGAUGACUCGGCGGGCAGCUUCCGGGAAACCAAAGCUUUUGGGUUCCGGGGGAAGUAUGGUUGCAAAGCUGAAACUUAAAGGAAUUGACGGAAGG
rnacentral:rRNA from 1 species